rnacentral:tRNA from 1 species
GAGGGUAUAGCUCAGUGGUAGAGCACAUGCUUAGCAUGCACAGGGUCCUGGGUUCAAGCCCCAGUACCUCUG